GAUGAACGCUGGCGGCGUGCCUAAUACAUGCAAGUCGAGCGAACAGACGAGGAGCUUGCUCCUCUUACGUUAGCGGCGGACGGGGGAGUAAAACGUGGAUAACCUACCUAUAAGGCUGGGAUAACUUCGGGAAACCGGAGCUAAUACCGGAUAAUAUAUUGAACCGCAUGGUUCAAUAGUGUAGGACGGUUUUGCUGUCACUUAUCCAUGGAUCCGCGCCGAAUUAGCUAGUUGGUAAGGUAACGGCUUACCAAGGCGACGAUGCGUAGCCGACCUGAGAGGGUGAUCGGCCACACUGGAACUGAGACACGGUCCAGACUCCUACGGGAGGCAGCAGUAGGGAAUCUUCCGCAAUGGGCGAAAGCCUGACGGAGCAACGCCGCGUGAGUGAUGAAGGUCUUCGGAUCGUAAAACUCUGUUAUUAGGGAAGAACUCGUGUCUAAGUAACUAUGCUCGUCUUGACGGUACCUAAUCAGAAAGCCACGGCUAACUACGUG
rnacentral:rRNA from 1 species